rnacentral:rRNA from 1 species
AACGAACGCUGGCGGCAUGCUUCAUACAUGCAAGUCGAACGGCAGCACGGGGCAACCUGGUGGCGAGUGGCGAACGGGUGAGUAAUGCAUCGGAACGUGCCAUUGAGUGGGGGAUAACGUAGCGAAAGUUGCGCUAAUACCGCAUAUUCUGUGAGCAGGAAAGCAGGGGGACCGCAAGGCCUUGCGCUCUUUGAGCGGCCGAUGUCAGAUUAGCUAGUUGGUGAGGUAACGGCUUACCAAGGCGACGAUCUGUAGCGGGUCUGAGAGGAUGAUCCGCCACACUGGAACUGAGACACGGUCCAGACUCCUACGGGAGGCAGCAGUGGGGAAUUUUGGACAAUGGGGGCAACCCUGAUCCAGCCAUGCCGCGUGAGUGAAGAAGGCCUCGGUGUAAG